AUUGAACGCUGGCGGCAGGCCUCACACCUGCACGUCGAGCGGAGCGGCGGACGGGUGAGUAAUGCUUAGGACUCUGCCUGGGCGUGGGGGAUAACGUCCGGAACCGGGCGCUAAUACCGCAUACUAUCAGAUUAGACUAAGUCGGAUUAGCUAGUUGGUGGGGUAAAGGCCUACCAAGUCGACGAUCCGUAACUGGUCUGAUAGGAUGAUCAGUCACACUGGAACUGAGACACGGUCCAGACGACUACGGGAGUCAGCAGUGGGGAAUAUUGGACAAUGGGCGAAAGCCUGAUCCAGCCAGGCCGCGUGUGUGAAGAAGGUCUUCGGAUUGUAAAGCACUUUAAGUUGGGAGGCGUUACCAACAGAAGAAGCACCGGCUAACUCCGUGCCAGCAGCCGCGGUAAUUC
rnacentral:rRNA from 1 species